UACGGAGGAUGCGAGCGUUAUCCGGAUUUAUUGGGUUUAAAGGGUGCGUAGGCGGACUGUCAAGUCAGCGGUAAAAUUGAGAGGCUCAACCUCUUCCCGCCGUUGAAACUGGUGGUCUUGAGUGGAUGAGAAGUACGCGGAAUGCGUGGUGUAGCGGUGAAAUGCAUAGAUAUCACGCAGAACUCCGAUUGCGAAGGCAGCGUACCGGCAUCCAACUGACGCUGAAGCACGAAAGCGUGGGUAUCGAACAGG
rnacentral:rRNA from 1 species